ACCUUAUUUUUCACGACAACAAGGGCGGCGCCAUUUCGCUCAUUUUGUCAACGUUCUUCCGGCCGCAUAGACGAUGAGCAGCUGAGGCAGUGACUGAAGGCGACGUGUUAAGCUUAAAAAGCUCACUCGAGCGCCUUUAUGUUUCUUUCUUACCAAUUUUAAGCCAACUGAGGAACACCCUUAUCCCAAGUAAUGGUUCGACUACGAUGUUCCGGUAACUUUAAACCACGCCUAGUGUUGAAAAGGUGGCCAGUUUCAGAUGCAUUGAUGUGUAGUGAUGCAGUGGACAACUGUGAGGAUGAUAUUCAAUGUCAACAUGUUCCUAAACUGUGAUGCAGAAACACAAUGGGAGCAUCUAUCCGUCUCUGACCACAACUACACUUUAAAAUCACAACUCAACCUGAAGCAACAUACAUCUGAUAUGGGAAAACAAUGGUGCGGUUUCCCGGACAGGGCUUAUCCUGGUCCCAGGCUAAAAUGCAUAUUUGAGCUACAAUAAUUUAAAAACACCUUUUACUGACAUACCUCAACAUAUAUUAGUGCCAUUGUUUUGUCACAAGAUGCCCACCAGUCUUGUUUUUUGUAGGAUUUGUUUGUAAAAACUAAAAUGCCCUAAUAUAAUUAAGGCAUAGUCCUGUAAACCCUGUCCGAGAAACUGCUUCAAUGCUUCUGCUUCAUGUGUUGAGCUGGCACAAAUGUACAUAUCUCUGCUGAGAAACAACCAUCUUUGGUUCAGCUUUACACAGGGUUGAUAUUGCAUCCAUUACACAGUCGCCAAGCACUUUACCAGUACAUACACCAACAGCUUCCAGAUAAACACUUGGGAUCAGCUCCUGAUGACUCCGAUAAAGCUGUCUUAAUUUAUUGCAGGGUGGUCUUGCUUUACUGGUUGUAAAGUUACAUUAAACCUUCAUAUGUGAUCAGAUGUCAUGCAGUGAUAUUAAACAUUUACAGUGUGAUCAGAUGUUGUGCAUUUAUAUUAAAUCUUUACAAUGUCAUCAUGUUGUGCAUUUAUAUUAAAUCUUUACAAUGUGAUCAGCUGUUACCUGUCAUGCAGUUAUAUUAAACAUUUACAAUGUGAUCAGAUGUUGUGCAUUUAUAUUAAACCUUUACAAUGUGAUCAGAUGUUGUGCAUUUAUAUUAAAUCUUUACAAUGUGAUCAUGUUGUGCAUUUAUAUUAAAUCUUUACAAUGUGA